rnacentral:lncRNA from 1 species
CUCCUAUUGCAGCUAUUGCUGUAAGUUGUAGAAUAAUAUUCAUCAAAGUGUCGAUUUGCAAUUUCUUAUUUAAUUAAUUCCUAAUGCAUGUCUGAAUUAGUCAAUCCUUGCAUUGAAGGCUGUAAUUGGGUUGUAAUAACCUAUAGUGUUUUCUUCAAUGGGGAGGAGGAAAUGAUUUCUGCAAGUGGGAAGGGGUUAAAAAAUGCAUGAAUAGAAGGGUCAUCAAGCUCAUGGUUGAAAGAGUAAAUUUGACUGGCACACAGGGUGGGAAAAGCCUAAAUCAGUUGGAUCAGCUUAGGGUUUUAUGGUUUUAAAAAAAACUCAUUAUCUCAAUCAAUUCCACAACUCUCUGGCCUUGUAAAUCUGAAAUCUCUUUACCUCAAUGAUAAUAAGCUGUCCAGCGAAAUACUGGUAGGUCUCAGUCUUACACCACCUGAAAGUAGUGUUUCUUUUUGGUAAUAGACUAUCAGGUCACAUUCUUCUGUCUUUUAUUGCUCUGAGCAGAUUGUUAGCGAUCAUAUCAGGAUGUGAUGAAAUUAAGUCAUUUUAGUUAGCCGACUUCUUUCAUCAUUUUAGUCAUUAUAAUCAUUUUAGGAUUAAAUAUGAUGUACAUAUGACAUCCAUUUUAGUAUACUCCUUUCAUUAUUUUAGUCGGUUCAAUGAUAAAAGAAGUCGAAUUCUUUUGUCAUUUUAGUGGGCUUAUUGAUUAAAGAAGCCGUCUCACAUUUAGCUCUUGUUUGAUCUCUAUUAUUUUCAAGAUACAUUUCUCCAUCUCUUCUUUUUAAUCGCAGUUUCUUCAAUAAAAUAACAUUAAGUAAACCAAUUUUUUUUUUCAUUUUUAACCACACAUUCUCCAUUCUAUUUCAAAAUGGAUUCUUAUAAUAAAAUGGGGGCUCAAACACGAUCUUAAUUAAACAUUUUAUAGGUUGUAAAAUCACAGAGUAUUUCACCAUUUUGUUCCUCUUUAUCCCUCUAGCACAUCCACUUUAUGUAUAGCAGAGGAAUUCAUUUCAAUAGGCUUAAUGAUAAAGAAGGGUAUUUGAUUCUAUCUCCUUAUCUAAUUCAUCUUUUGGAUCAGGUUAUGAAUUCAAGGAAGAUGAUAUAUUGUUAUAUGUGAUUUUGAUUGUUUACAUCCAAGUACAACAAGUAGGCUGCAUAUGGCCACUCAAAACUUGAUAAUAUACUCCAUGCUAAUGAGCUGGCGAGACGAUUAAAAGUACUCAGUUCGACGUGCAAUCUGAACAAGAUUCAUUGUCCACCGUAUGAUUUUCGUUAUUAUUUAUUCUUUUAUUCUUUAUUUUUUUAGCUGUUGUUUUCAUUGAAGUGCACUAUUUAUUUUAUAUUGACUAGCAUGAAGGGGAUUACAAAAACGGUUUGUCUAUAACAAAGACAAAAAUAGAUAAAAAAGAACAACCAAAGUGUAAACUAACUUGAGGAAAUCUAGACUUCCUUAUAUUUUGAGAUGUAGAUUGUUCACCUAAGCCUCAAAGUUUUCAAUUCUGGACAAAUAGAACGACUUGUUUUCCUCAAAAUGUUUUCUCAAAUCAAAAAAUUGACUUCUUUCUUUGAAUGUAGCUUCGAAUUCCAAAACAUGAGCCUCCAAUUUAGAAUUUUUUACUUUCAGUUCCCCAGUUUCGUUCGACUUGCACUCAAUUUGCUCCUCUAAUUUCUUCUUUGUGUUCAUUGUUUUUCAGUCUCAGACUUCCAUUUUCAACCUGGCCCUCUUAACUCUUUCAUAAGCAACAACAGUUUCCCUUAUCAACCAAUCUUCCUUUUAACAAGACAGAUGAAUCCAACAAUAUUUGUUGAAGGAGAUAUCUAGAAGAGGUGUCCUCUUGCAAUGUAUUUGCUGUGAAGUUAGACUAUUGACUAAUUGUCGAUGUAACUUGAUCUAGCUGGUUUUCUCACUUUUGCUCCUAUGUUCGAUAUUCUCUCAACUUCAACAAGUAAUUCUUUUUUGGAUUCUUGACAUGUGAGCUUCUCAAAUUUUCUUAUUUUUAAUACACUAUCGUUGGUGCUGGUGCGUGACAUUUUUGUCUUUAAGGUUUCAUGGUGGUUUGAUUAUGUGAAAAUAAUACAAUUGCAGUGCCAAUGGAGUAGCUCUUUAUUUUGCCCCUUCUUCACCCUCUACCUUUUGAUUACAGUUUACAGAGGUGUGAUUAAAUUUUGUGCAUUUAUUAUCUAAUGUAACUUUACGAAUUCAUUCAUUUACUGGUAAUGUUUCUCAAAGCAAUUUCAUGUGUAACAUGCAAUUUCUUAUAUUCUUAUGAUGAUUUUUCUUUAAAUUCAUGGAGUAGCAAGGAACAAGAAUGUAAAUAUCAAUUUGAAUCAGGAAAACAUCACGAUUAAUGGUGUUGUAGAAUAAGGAGAAAUGCACCAAGAUUCAAUAUAUGCAGGAGAAACUAAUAAUUUUAAGUAAGAAUUGGAGAAAUAAUAGUGAAAGACUAUUGUCUUUUAGGUUGGAGACUAUUUCUACACCAAAAAAUUGAUUAAUUAAUUAACAACACUUAUAAUUUUCAUUUCUACUACUUCAUUUUGAGUUUUAGAUUAUGUUAUUCUGAUAACUUCCCUUAUAUAUUUCAUCUCAAACAGAUUCAAUCUUGAUUUUUGAGGAUCAUUUGUAUCUCUGGAGAGUCCAUUGCUCAUGUUUUUCAAUUUUUUAAAGUCUAUAAAAGGAUACAGAGGUUUUGAUGAAAAUUAAAGGAUAUAUGUGGCUCAAAAUGGCUGCAUUAUUCUGUGAUCUGAUCUUUAUCUGGUUGUUUUAUCAAUAAGGAGAAAAAGUUCUAGGUCUUUUUGAAAAUCAUCUCAAUAGGUUUCAAGCUGUGAAACAACUAUCGACAUCUGCAACAACAAAAAGUAUGAUUAUCUAUUAAAUUUUCACUUCCAUACGGAUGAGCAGGGUCAACACCACUGUCAUCUAUGAAGCGAACUGAAUCGGGCCUGACAUCUGAGGUAUGCUUAAGUUUGAAUGUUCCAUUUGUUUUAUUCAUAUCCUAUCACCGUAGGCAUUCGAAUAAGAACAUAUUGUUUUCGUAGAUACUUUUCUAACUACUACCUAUGAGUUCUAAAAUAUUCAAAAUAAAAAUAAAAAGAGUUCUUCGACAUUCAACGAAUGAUUUCCUUUUAAUUUUAUUUCUGUCUUUUCAAUGUCCUUUUGUCCAUAUUUCAUGUGGUUUCUUUCUCCAAUAUUACCUUAGUGUUUGAAUUGAGAAAACAUUAUUUUCUUCAGAAGCUCCUGAUUACCACUUUAAUUUUAAGUUCAACGAGAGCAUAUCGAUAUGGUGAGAUGAUUAUCUAUCGUCUUGUCAAGUUCUUUGUGAAUCAUCCUAACAUAUAAUGCCACUUAUUGGCGAUGAUGUGCAUUCCAAUUUGUGGAUUACAUGUUUUAAUGCACACAUUAGAGUAAUAGUUGCAUAGUUUCUUUCAUGGAUGCAUCAAAUUGCAUUUAUCCUGCUUCCAUUUUCGUGUAGGUUAUUUCAUAUGAAUAAUAGAUUAUUCUUGUUCUUACAAAGUACAUUUUACAUGAAAAUAUGCAGUUUUCUUAUUUCGAAACUUAAUAAGUUGUUCUAUGUUCUUCUACCUUGAUGAAGAAUGGAAAGGAGUUUCUUUUUUCAGACACUAGGAUUCAUUAAAGAUAUAACAAUGACAAUGGUAAGUUCCGUCAUUAAUAUUUAUGGAUUUUUUUAUUGCUUUAUUUUCUUAAUUAUUCAUAUAAAUCAAUUUUCUUCUUUUGUAUCUUUUCAUGUCUUGAUCAAUAUUGGUUGAGAUGAAUCAUCAAUUAGCCUGUGUCCAAAAGAUGGUGGCUGUGGGAAGCUAAACAAUAUUGAUCAUAUUUUCUCAACACUGCCCCAUGUUUCACGACAGUGAAUUUCCAGCUUCAUUUUACAUAUCCACAUUAUUUUAGUUUGUGUACCGAAAGUAUCCAUUAUCAUUGUCUGCUAUCCUCUUUUCGAUGGAAUUGUUGCCUUUGAUAAGACCUUCAACUAUUGACCAGCAAAGUGGUUAGAGAGUUCUAGUUUGGUAGUAAUUUAUAUUUUGUAUCAUUCUGAGGAAUCAAGAUUUUUAUGGGUUGGGAUAUAAGCAUGGCCAUCAAGCUCCAUGUUGAUACUUUUGAUUCUAUUAGUUUUUAUCAUAGGCAUAAUAUAGUACUAAAGAAGCGAAGAAGUUGGACUAAUUCUUGUGUUCUAAUUGUUCAUUUGGAGAUGAUUCGAAAAUAUCUUUGAACUCAAUCUGUGGAUCACCAACUAGUGACGGCAAGGUAUAAGUGCAUUACUAUAACUUGCAAGUUGUAGCAUUUGGAUUGCUGUGUAUUUUGUUAUUUAAAAUUCUAAAAAAAUGGAUUGUAUUGGCGGUCACAAUACUUAGAAAUCUUGUUGAAUGUGUCUUUAGCACUUCUGAAUUUUUGUUGGAGGUAACAGCUAGGUUUCUGAUACAUCAUAACUUCACUUCUAUGGGAAGAAUGGAUUUUGGUUGAACCUAACUUUCUCUCAUUCCAAACAUUGUUUAGAUGUUCUUUUUGAUUAUUUUAUAAUUUCUAUCAUAUGUUGAUCAAGUUUAAAGGUUAUCUAUGAUUCACUUAUAAUCGUUCUUUC